rnacentral:rRNA from 1 species
UACGUAGGGCGCAAGCGUUAUCCGGAAUUAUUGGGCGUAAAGAGCUCGUAGGCGGUUUGUCGCGUCUGCCGUGAAAGUCCGGGGCUCAACUCCGGAUCUGCGGUGGGUACGGGCAGACUAGAGUGAUGUAGGGGAGACUGGAAUUCCUGGUGUAGCGGUGAAAUGCGCAGAUAUCAGGAGGAACACCGAUGGCGAAGGCAGGUCUCUGGGCAUUAACUGACGCUGAGGAGCGAAAGCUUGGGGAGCGAACAGG